AACGUACGCUGGCGGCACGCCUAACACAUGCAAGUCGAACGAAGUAGCAAUACUUAGUGGCAGACGGGUGAGUAACAUGUAGGUAUCUGCCCUUUGGCCUGGAAUAACACGAGGAAACUUGUGCUAAUACCGGAUAAGUCUUUACGGAGAAAGCUUUAUGCACCAUUGGAUGAGCCUGCACUUGAUUAGUUUGUUGGUGGGGUAAUGGCCUACCAAGACUGUGAUCAAUAGCUGAUUUGAGAGGAUGAUCAGCCACAUUGGGACUGAGACACGGCCCAAACUCCUACGGGAGGCAGCAGUGGGGAAUCUUGCGCAAUGGAGGAAACUCUGAUGCAGCGAUGCCGCGUGAGUGAAGAAAGCCCUUGGGUUGUAAAGCUCUUUCGUCGGGGAAGAAAAUGACUGUACCCGAAUAAGAAGGUCCGGCUAACUUCGUGCCAGCAGCCGCGGUAAUACGAAGGGACCUAGCGUAGUUCGGAAUUACUGGGCUUAAAGAGUUCGUAGGUGGUUGAAAAAGUUAGUGGUGAAAUCCCAGAGCUUAACUCUGGAACUGCCAUUAAAACUUUUCAGCUAGAGUAUGAUAGAGGAAAGCAGAAUUUCUAGUGUAGAGGUGAAAUUCGUAGAUAUUAGAAAGAAUACCAAUUGCGAAGGCAGCUUUCUGGAUCAUUACUGACACUGAGGAACGAAAGCAUGGGUAGCGAAGAGGAUUAGAUACCCUCGUAGUCCAUGCCGUAAACGAUGUGUGUUAGACGUUGGAAAUUUAUUUUCAGUGUCGCAGGGAAACCGAUAAACACACCGCCUGGGGAGUACGACCGCAAGGUUAAAACUCAAAUGAAUUGACGGGGACCCGCACAAGUAGUGGAGCAUGUGGUUUAAUUCGAAGAUACGCGCAGAACCUUACCAACACUUGACAUGUUCGUCGCGACUCUAAGAGAUUAGAGUUUUCGGUUCGGCCGGACGAAACACAGGUGCUGCAUGGCUGUCGUCAGCUCGUGUCGUGAGAUGUUGGGUUAAGUCCCGCAACGAGCGCAACCCUCACUUUUAGUUGCCAUCAUUAAGUUGGGCACUCUGAAAGAACUGCCAGUGAUAAGCUGGAGGAAGGUGGGGAUGACGUCAAGUCCUCAUGGCCCUUACGUGUUGGGCUACACACGUGCUACAAUGGUAUCUACAACAGGAAGCAAGACUGCGAAGUUAAGCAAAUCCCUAAAAGAUACCUCAGUUCGGAUUGCACUCUGCAACUCGAGUGCAUGAAGCUGGAAUUACUAGUAAUCGUGGAUCAGCGUGCCACGGUGAAUGCGUUCCCGGGUCU
rnacentral:rRNA from 1 species